AGGAGGAACAACCGUAGUGGCCGGGCCAGCUCUGGAGCCCUGGAGUCAGCUCCCAUAGUAACUCCCGGAGCUCUCCGUCAGCAGGGCCUGGAGGCCCCCGGGGCGGU
rnacentral:pre_miRNA from 1 species